rnacentral:rRNA from 1 species
AAGGAGGGAGCUAGCGUUGUUCGGAAUUACUGGGCGUAAAGCGAACGUAGGCGACUUUGUAAGUCAGAGGUGAAAGCCUGGAGCUCAACUCCAGAACUGCCUUUGAGACUGCAUCGCUUGAAUCCAGGAGAGGUGAGUGGAAUUCCGAGUGUAGCGGUGAAAUUCAUAGAUAUGCGGAUGAACCCCACUGGCGAAGGCGGCUCACUGGACUAGUAUUGACCCUCAGGUGCGAAAGCGUGGGGAGCAAUCAG